rnacentral:lncRNA from 1 species
CAAAAGUCCAGCAGGAGCUGGAGUUAGAGCCGGAAGGGAUUACUAAGAGCAUUAGCUGCUGGAAGUUUGCAGAAAUUGGGGGAAGGUCAUUGGACUUCCCAUAGGAUUUGGGAUAGGGGGAUCCAAGAAGCUUUUAAAAACACGUCCAAGGAUAAGGUGGUUGCAGCUAACAUCUGAUUGCUGUAGUGCUGUGUAUCUCAUAGAAUGUUUAACAGUGUUCCCCGCUCCCCCCUGCCAAGAUCCUUCUUAUGGAGGUCUAUUUGUUGGAUGCCCCAGGAACUAUCCUGAUAUUCCUCUUCCUGCCCCAUGGACUCCAUUUUUUCAGUUCAGACUCCAAAAGGGAAGUAAAACUUUCCAAGAAAGGGCUUGUCAUUCUCUUCCCUUCCUAUUAGGAAUCCACAGAUCCUGAGGAUGCUGGUCAAAGAGCUAGAGAGCUGCAGCCGCCCCAGCCUCACCAGCACUGAGUAGGGCACAUCAUUUGGGAGUGAAGGGACAUGGGUAAAGUCUUCCGCAGACUCUUGGGACUUGAAGACUGCUCUGAGCAAAUUUUAGGGGCUGGCCCGGUGGUUCAGUGGUUAAGUGCACACAUUCUGCUUCUUGGCGGCCCGUGGUUCACCGGUUCGGACGUGGCAGCAUGGCUUGAUAAGCAGUGUGUACAUCCAUGCCCGGGAUCCGAACCAGUGAACCCCAGGCUGCUGAAGCGGAGUGCACAAACUUAACUGCUAUGCCACCCGGCCAGCCCCUCAAGGAUGUUGGUACAAAUUGCCCAAUUGUCUUCCAGAAAAGAUGUAUCAACUUAGACUCUCACCACCAGUCCUGUGAGAGUAUCUCUUUCACUACAUCCUUCCCAACACAAGGAUGAGCUUUGAAGUCAUUGUGCCAAGUCCUGCUUGUUCCUUUGGACUACACAGUGGGAGCUGGAAACAUGGGUGACCCCCGUAGGGGCUUUUGUAUUCAUAAGCACCAGGCUUACGAACGAAUACAAACACAGCAAGUCCCAGGAGCUGGUUUUGGUGGGGCUGGACUUCUCCAUGCAGAAUCACAUGGCCUCUUUAGGAAGAAGCCCCUCGCCGCCAUUGACCUCCACUUGGGGCAUCCUCCUGUCUCCAGUCCAAAGACAAUCCUGUGGACCUCAGAGCUCUUGUGUCUCUGCUGCUGCAGCACCCAUCCAUAUGUGCCCCACUGUGGCCGAGCCAGCCUGUACUGGGGUGUUCCUGUCCAUCUUGCAGGGGACCCUGCCUCCAGCCAGUGUCCUCUCCAAGCCUGUCUCCUCUAAGGAUUUCCUGUGGGUUAGCUCUGGGGAUCUUUUCUUAAUCUAUUCCUACGUGUGUUAUUACAGAAAGAAUUAUUCAUAAUUGCCAGCAUUGUGAUGGCUUCUUCCUAGUUUCUUUUGAGCCUGCAUGUUUUUCCCUACUUGACAUUUUCUAGGUUCUCUCCUACUUAAGUGACUUCUUCAGGAUCUUUUCUAUUGAGGAGUAAUGAACGAACAGUAAAGUCACAAAUCCUAAGCAUACAUUGCAGUGAAUUUUUACAUAUGUGUACACUAUGUAACCACCCCCCCAAUCAAGGUGUUUCUUUUAGAGUUGAGAAGUUCUUGGUGGGAGGUUGAGUGGAGAAGGAAAUCAUGAGUGUGUCCCCGAGCUACCGUCUUUUUCUAGAACUCUCUUUAAAGGGUGUUAAGGAGGGAGCUGAACGUCAAGUCUAUACAGUGGUGUGGAGAGCAGAAUGCUUAGGCGUGGCAGGUCAUGUUCUGGUCCUCCCCCUUACUAGCCGUGGGACUUCUGUGCCUCAGUUUCAACCACUGUAAAAUGGGAGUAGAUGAUAGCUCUUACCUCACAAGGUUAUCAUGAAGAUUACACGAGGCAGUACAUGUAAGUGCACAAAAAAUGUUAAUUGUUAUUUUUGUUGUUAUUAAUAAUGAGGAGGAGGCACUGGUUCUUAAUGAAGGAUAUGUAUCAGAAUCACCUGGGGCACUUUCGCAAAAUACACAUGCUCAACCUGGCCAGAUCUACUGAGUCAGAAUCUAGAUUUUAAAUGCCUCCCCAGGUUCAUUCUGUUGCUCAUCCGUGGUUGAGAACCACUGGGCUGGAGGUGGUCAUGACUGGAAGCAGGAAGGCCAACAGGUAGCCCCUGCGAUAGUGAGAGCCGGAGAGGAUCAGAGCUGAGCAGAUUUGAGGCAGAGUGGAGAGGUAGCCAAGAUGUGGCGACCUUGGGUGGAGGAGCGAGGAAGGAGGGGGAGGAGUCUGGGGUGACUCACAGGCUGCUGACUGGACAAUGGAGUGAGCAGGUGGAGGAUGAGCCAGAAGUGGGAAUACAGGAAGGGGGCGUGGGGUGGGGCAGUGGGCCAGAGAUUGUUAUAAUUCCCCUUGGGAUUGUUGAGUGGAGACUCCUGGUGGGAAUAGCAAGUUAGUAUUUGGAUCUCUAGGCCUGGGCUUCUGGUGUUUUUCAGGGAGUCAUCGAUGUCAAGGAGAUAGAUAAAGCCAUGGACCUGGUCACAGUGCAAACAUAGAGGGCAGAAGAGGGCUACAUUCACUAGUAUCCACCUCUGGGAAGGCCUGCGUCCACUUCCUGUUUCCUCCCUAGCAAUAGAGAAGCGCUUGUUUCUCGUGUAAUAACCCCUUUGCUGAGGACGUUGGGGAAUAAGCUCAGUCUUCUCACUUGAAGAUGACCAAUGACUAUGGGUCACUUCCUUUCCUUACAGGUCUCAAAAUUUUCCGCAUCCUCUGAUGGAGGAGCUUAAUCCUUAUUCAUCAGUAUCUUCAGACAGCACAUCUGGUUGGGGCAAUGUCUUAUCUUCCAACACCCCCUGAUCCCCCAUGCUCUCACACAUACUCAGCCUCUGGUGGAUGGCUUCUUAGACUCUGGCUUUCUUCAGGCCCUUGAUAUCAACGAGUUGCUCUUUGGCAAGAAUUUAAGCCCUUCGAGUACCUCUCCCAGAGGCGUUUGCAUUUAGAACUAUAGGUGUAAUAGAAAUAAUGGAAGAUGUUGCAUUCCUGAGGGAAGGCGAUCCUGGAAUGAAAUAUUCAUUCUCUCAUUCUAGAACAUCCCUGUCUAGUAGACCUUUCUGCGUUGAUGGAAAUGUUCUUCUGUGCUAUACAAUACGAUAGUCACUAGCCACAUGUGGCUAUUGAGUGUUUGAAAUGUGGCUAGUGUAACCGAGGAAUUGGAUUUUUCAUUUUAAUUAAUUAAAAGUUAAAUUUAAG